rnacentral:misc_RNA from 1 species
CGAAAUACCUGUAUUGUUCACCAGCGGCCCUAACCGAAUUUGAGUUCGAUGGCCCGGAAGUCCGGCAGUCCCCAUAAGGGGAACGCUUCGGAACCGCUGGUUACUGGGUAACGCCUAUAUUGGCGCAAAUCUGGAUUCUGCAUUUGUUCUACCCUACUCCCCGACGGGUGUCAACGGGUCAGGUUCAACAUUUUGUAUGUUUU